UAGGGAAUCUUCCGCAAUGGACGAAAGUCUGACGGAGCAACGCCGCGUGAGUGAUGAAGGCUUUCGGGUCGUAAAACUCUGUUGUUAGGGAAGAACAAGUGCUAGUUGAAUAAGCUGGCACCUUGACGGUACCUAACCAGAAAGCCACGGCUAACUACGUGCCAGCAGCCGCGGUAAUACGUAGGUGGCAAGCGUUAUCCGGAAUUAUUGGGCGUAAAGCGCGCGCAGGUGGUUUCUUAAGUCUGAUGUGAAAGCCCACGGCUCAACCGUGGAGGGUCAUUGGAAACUGGGAGACUUGAGUGCAGAARAGGAAAGUGGAAUUCCAUGUGUAGCGGUGAAAUGCGUARAGAUAUGGAGGAACACCAGUGGCGAAGGCGACUUUCUGGUCUGUAACUGACACUGAGGCGCGAAAGCGUGGGGAGCAAACAGGAUUAGAUACCCUGGUAGUCCACGCCGUAAACRAUGAGUGCUAAGUGUUAGAGGGUUUCCGCCCUUUAGUGCUGAAGUUAACGCAUUAAGCACUCCGCCUGGGGAGUACGGCCGCAAGGCUG
rnacentral:rRNA from 1 species